ensembl:lincRNA
AGGUUGUCAUUUCCUGCAUGGGAUCACCCAACACAACCUGAAGCAUGCAUUUAUCUGCCUCAUCCCCAUCACCCUGGGUUAAAACCCAAGCCUGGGUACUACCCCUAGUGAGGUGACCGUGAGUCCUAGACUUGAAACAAGACAGUUGCAAAUGGAGCAAGAGCAAGUGUAUUCAGUGCAGUCUCACAGCCUGAAGACAGGGGUUUUAGACUGGAAACUAGAAAACUGAGGAGAGCUACGUGAACACUGAGAGAAGGAGGUAGGAUGGAAAAGGUUUCUGGUAGGUGGCCCAGAAUUAAAUGAUCUUCAAGGUGCAUUAAGGCCACCUUGGAGGAGGAAAGUGGAAUGAUUUUCAUUUCCACAGACACUUAAAUACAGCCGAAUUACCAUGGAGGGAUUUUAGGCAAAAUAUUAAAAACUAGAUAAUGGUGAAAGGUGAGAGAGAACAGAAUGAAACCCUGAAUAUUGUGGCUGUGAGGCAAGGUUUGGAGGAGACACCCUCUCCCUGCUAUGUGACCCAUCAGAGUUGACUUGGAGAGAUGAGGAUGGCAGUUGAGUUUGGAGGGCUCUUUAGGGGCAUUAAAAAUGCCUCAUUUCUCCCACCAAAACAUCUGAGUUGCUCUCCAUCCUCCCCUAGAGGUGUCAGGAUGGGGCUUUGUGAUGUCAAGGCUCACCCAGGGCCACUAUUGGCUAGGGAAAUGAUUUGCUGACCUCAUAAAGCAUAAGGGUGUGGCCCCCUGGGGAGGAGUAUAUAUAUAUAUGGGUGCUCAGGGGCUCUGCAGAAGACCACUGGGAGCCUUCAAAAUGACCAAGGUGACUGGGAACCCACAAAGCUCUAGAGAGGUUAUGGAGCAGCCAACUCCAGAUACCCAGGACAAAAAGAUGAAGAUCUCCUGCCAACUGAGGUCCAAAGGAAGUGUCAGGGUGACUAGGACAACCAUGAAGGUGAAUAAGCACAUUCAAGAAAAGGUGGCCAACAAAGCUUCUCAAAAAACUGCCACCUCAAAGAAACUUUAGAAAAUCAGAGGUUCAAAGCUCUGUAGCCAGUGUUCCAAGGUGAAUGAAAGCUGAAUCAGAACAAACUGGAGGAGGUCCCAGAGAUCAUGGAGACCCCUGCCGAUCCAGCUGGCCCAGUGGGCAGCCAGGGACCUCAGAGCAUGGCUAAAGACCUCAGAAAUCUGUAGGUGUCUCACCGUUAAGAAAUGGCCAACAGUACAGACAUUGAAACGUAUACCAACAGCAUGCAUUAAUAAUGAAAAGUAAAUAAAAUCAACCUGCUGUUAAAUUAUGUAUGUCUCUGAGCUCUUUGAUAGUGUGGCGCAGAGAGGGCAGGGAAGGUAUGUGUGCGAAGAGGGAGAGAGAUGGGUCCUGUGGAGUUGGAGAUGGGACCAGAAGGUCCAAUUAGCCAGAAAGUAGGGGGAAGAACUGGGUCCAGACUGAGCCCCAAAGAUAUACUUCCUAUGGGAGAAGAGGCAGAGGACUUGGUGUUCCUGUGUGAGAGUGCGGAGGUGGGAACUUAGCUGGGGAGCCGUGUCAUGUGUGAGGUGGCAGUGCCAUUUCCUAAAAAGGCAUACAAAGUAGUUGCCCCUAGGGCACCUACCUCAUAGUAGUGUUUAUUACACCUCAAGAUAUGAUGUCGACAACUAACAGCCUCAAAAACUCAAUCUUGCUUACUGAAAGAUAGUCCUUAGGGGUAAAAUAAUGGUGGUUUUAAGUAUGGAGAUUUCUUAAAACACUAAAAAUAGAACAGCACAUGACCUAGCGAUUUCACUUUGGUUACAUAUUUUUUAAAAACCCA